rnacentral:pre_miRNA from 1 species
AGGAGGAACAACCCCAGUGGCGGGGCCAGCUCUGGAGCCCUGGAGUCAGCCCCCGCAGUAACUCCGGAGCUCUCGGUCUGCAGGGCCUGGAGGCUCCGGGGCGGG